rnacentral:lncRNA from 1 species
CUGUCUUUACUCAAUAUAAUUGUAGCACUUGGAAGAUCAGUCUUUUAAAAACUGGCCUUAGAAUGAAUUAUUACUUACUCUUAAGAGGUAGGUUUGUUUAAGGACUCUGAUGGGUAUAUGCGUGUAGGAUAAAAAAUAUGCACUCACUGUUUAUGUUUUAUCUCCUAAUUAAUAUACUACCAACAUAGAACAAUAUCUUAUAUACAUAUUUAUAGUUAAAGCAUCUCAGAGGGCAACAGGUUUAAAUACACAUGUUACGAGUGUAUAAACCCUUUGGCGGGACCUCAAACAAAUAAAUCUGUUUAUGCAGAAAAAUAAUAGAUUCCAAUUCAGCUACACAAAAACAAAAUGUAGGUCGCGAUUCUUAUUCUUACUGUCUCCCUGUGCACCAAUUCUUAUCAUUGUCCUUCAAAGUUUUAUGUUUUAAAAUUUGGUUAAUGAGUAUUUUCUCCUGAAUAAGUAAUGGUAAUCCCAUUGCCUCCACCUGGGAUUUUAGGUAGAACUUUAAGGUAGACAUAAGUGAUUAAGUCAUAUUUUUUUUUCAGUUGUUACUUACCCACUGGGGUACUUACUAUGGCUUUAUUUAAUUUUUUCCAGGUUUUUCUUAAUCACGAUAUAGUUAUAUAAUUUCCUCUCUCCUUGUUCCUCCCUCUCCCAUGUUCCCCAUACCUCCUCCCUCCCAAACUGAUAUGGCCUCCUCCUCCUUAAUCAUUGCUAUUACAUAUACAUAUCAACAAGGAAAUCUAGUACAGCAUUCUGAGUCCCUUCACUGUUCCCUUCCAGUGUUCCCUAGCAGUUCCUUAUGUUGACUGACUACUGGAUAUUGGAUAUGUAGUCAGGGACUCAUUUCUAGGAAGACGAAUUCUUCAUCUCUCAGUAGUUUUUAGUUGUCUGCAUCUCUUCAUUUCGAGGUGGGGUCCUGUGAGAUUCUCUCCACCUAUCCUGGGAUAUCAGCUCAUGUUGUUAUUGCUCAGGGUCUUCCAUGACCACGGGUACAGGAGUUGUUCUGUAGAA